rnacentral:lncRNA from 1 species
UCUCGAACUCCUGACCUCAGGUGAUCCACCCACCUCAGCCUCCCAAAGUGCUGGGAUUACAGGCAUGAGCCACCGUGCCCGGUCGAAUUAUACACUUUAAAUGGGUGAAUUGUAUGACAUAUGAAUUCUAUUUCAAACUGUUAAAAAAAAAGUAUGCUAAUGUGUUAACAUGUUUUUGCUUUCAGUUCUUUCUACAACUUCAACAGGCUGCACUGGAGGUGUUUGCAGAGAAUAAUACUCUGAGUAAAUUGCAGCUAGGACAGCUAGCCUCUAUGGAGAGCUCUGUCUUUGAUGACAUGAUUAACCUCUUAGAACGUUUAAAGCAUGAUAUGUUGACCCGUCAAGUAGACCACGUUUUUAGAGAAGUUAAAGAUGCUGCAAAAUUGUAUAAAAAAGAAAGGUAUGUCCUCUAUGUAAGUCAGCUCUUAACACCAGUUUGGUAAAAGUUAAAGAAUAUGUGGUCAGAUUUUCAAGGUGUCUAGAUAGAACCCGGUUUGGCCUUAUGUACUUUAUUGUUGAUGGAAAUAUUUCUAAAGUAUGUUCUCUUGGACAUUUUUUUUGAGACAGUCCUACUCUGUCACCCAGGCUGGAGUGCAGUUGCACGAUCUUGGCUCAUUGCAACCUCUGCCUUAGAGGUUCAAGUGACCUUCCCACCUCAGCCUCCCAAGUAGCCAGGACUACAGGCAUGCACCACCACACAAGGCUAAUUUUUGUAUUUUUAGUAGAGAUGUGGUUUCACAUUUUGGGCAGGCUGAUCUCCAACUCCUGACCUCAGGCAAGCCACCUGCCUCGGCCUCCCAAAGUGCUAGGAUUACAGGUGUGAGCCACCACACCUGGCUGACAUUCUUAAUCAGAAUAAACUGAUUAUAAUUUAGUUGUUUGUAAAUAUAUCAAUAGGAUAGUGUGUGAUCUGGGGUUGAAUAGCCUAACCUGUCUCCCAUUUUGCAAAGUAAAGUGCACCUGUGGUACUCUGCAUACUUUUGUUGUGGUUUAUCCCACUACCAUUCACUGUGAACACCUGUGUUACUUUCAUCCUUGAUAGCAAGCAGUAUCUUUUUGUCCUAGCAUAGUCCCUGCCACACAGAGUGCUUAAAAUUCGUUUAUUAGUCCUGUUUUUACUAAAAAUUAGAGGAUAAUAUUAGCUGAUGUCUUAAUUAAAAUGCUAAAAUCAGGCUGGGUGCAGUGGCUCACACCUGUAAUCCCAGCACUUUGGGAGGCCAAGGCGGGCAGAUUACUUGAGGGCAGCAAUUCGAAACUAGCCUGGCCAACAUGGCGAAACCCUGUCUCUACUAAAAAAUUCAAAGAUUAGCUGGGCGUGGUGGUGGGCACCUGUAAUCCCAGCUACUUGGGAGGCUGACACGAGAAUUGCUUGAACCCUGUGGCUCUAGCCUGGCCAACAGAGCGAGACUCUGUCUCAAAAAAAAAGAAAAACUACAUAAAUAAAAUGCAAAAAUUAAGUGACAUUUUAAAUUGUAAUUGCCUUAUAUCAGUAAUUCACAUAUUAAAAUUUGGGGAUAUUUUGGAUAUAUCCCCAUAUUAAAGAGUAUUUGAGAGUGAAAAU